GACGAGGGAGAGAGGGGGGCACAGGAUGGGUCACGAGACAAAAGUGAGGAAAAGAGAGCACUACGGUCAUUUGGUCAUUUUCCAACCAUUUUCUUCUUUUUAGUUCCUUUAAUUGGGCUGCCCUUAACGGGAGUUAAAAUCAGAGGCAAAUGGCUCCUUCAUUUUGAAAAAGGAGAGACAAAAUCACAAAGUCUGAAAAGUAGAAGUAAAAUCAUAGUUGGAUUCUAAAAUAGGGGAUUAUAGGAACUUCAAGAAUUCCAUUCAGCGUUGGAAGAGGCAAAAGCUGAUAUAGUCGGUCUCUGGGCACUGAAUUUUCUUAUUAAGAGGGUUAUCUACAUCCAUCAAUUAUCAGGGUUGCUUCCUAAGAGCCUAUCAAAAUCCAUGUAUGCCUCUUUCCUGGCUGGGUGCUUCCGGUCAAUCCACUUUGGACUGGAAGAAGCUCAUGGGUAAGGCUGUAUGUUCCCUUCUAGCAAACUGAACUUGAAUACGAUGAAAAAAGAGACAUGGAUAUUUCUCAUAGCAUUUUCAUGCUACCCUGAACACCUGAUGAUAAAUCGAUUGUUACUGUAUAUCAGAAUGUAGAAAAGGACAAGCUCUGCAAUUUAACUGGUUGUAUGAGAAAGGGGCCUUUGUCUUGCACUCUGAUGGAACAUUCUCAGUUGAUUUUAUUAUCUAGUAUUCAACUAUCUCGCUAUUUCUCUGCUAUCAUUGCUCAUUAGAUUUUGUAUUGUGAAAGGUUGAGGAUGCUGUAGAAAGCCUCAGCAGGGAGAUCCUCUGACAAAACAGGCAAAGGGCGAUAAGCCUGCUUGCCUUCUCCAGUCCCAUGCAACCAUGACGAAACCAUUGCGUGUGGCAUUGGAGAAGAUAGAACACAUGCAGGUACCUGUUGAUAUUGCCCCGAUAUUUGGCACGGCAAACAAGCUGCUUGCAAACAUAUAACCAGCCGGGCUCAGCACUUCAGCAAGUGUUGUGCUUGAGUAUCCAACGAUACCUGGACACAAAACCAGGAGCUGUUCAAGAACAAGGUACCGUUCCAUGUUGAGCGAUGCGGACGAAAAGCAUUGCAAUA